rnacentral:rRNA from 1 species
UAGUCCACGCCGUAAACGAUGAGAACUAAGUGUUGGAGUAAAAAUUCAGUGCUGAAGUUAACGCAUUAAGUUCUCCGCCUGGGUAGUACGAUCGCAAGAUUGAAACUCAAAGGAAUUGACGGGAACCCGCACAAGCGGUGGAGUAUGUUGUUUAAUUCGAAGAUACACGAAGAACCUUACCAGGUCUUGACAUACCAUUGACAGGUGUAGAGAUACAUUUUUCCUUCGGGACAAUGGAUACAGGUGGUGCAUGGUUGUCGUCAGCUCGUGCCGUGAGGUGUUGGGUUAAGUCCCGCAACGAGCGCAACCCUUAUUGUUAGUUGCUAAUAUUAAGUUAAGGACUCUAAUGAGACUGCCAGCGACAAGCUGGAGGAAGGUGGGGGAUGACGUCAAAUCAUCAUGCCCCUUAUGACCUGGGCUACAAACGUACUACAAUGGAUGAUACAAAGAGAAGCGAGAUCGCGAGAUGGAGCAAACCUCAUAAAAUCAUUCUCAGUUCAG